UUGUUUGCAGGCUCAUAUGCUGAUGACAUGGAGCACGGCGAAUUGGUAGACUCAAGUCACAAUACCUAUGUCGACCAUGAUCCAUUGGACUAUGUCUACUCAAACCUCCCAGACCACACACACAUCCUGAAGCACGCCGCAAAUUGCGAUCACUGCAAGGGAUUCUGCUGUCGCAGUGGGCAGAUCCAACUGAAGCAACCGGAGCCCAUCCCGGAGCUAAUGAGGCUUUGGUCUAGCAUGGAUGCGGAUUCAAGGCAUUUUCGGGAGAACAUACGGUUCUUCAACGGCCACUUCUCCUUCACAACCCUUGGUGUCAGCCUUGAUGAAAGCUACACAAACAUGAAGUCUGGGGUGUACACGUUCCGGGCGCAUGGCACCAUCUACCACAAUGUUCAUUCCUUCGGGCCAACGUCACGUCCAGAUCAUCUACAGUUGUACUUCUACGAUGAUGACCUAGGCCUAACCCAUAGCAAGGCUGCCACCGAGCAAUUAGACCAGGAUGUCGUCAGAAAGUUAGUGGACAUACUCAGAGAAAACCCGUACUCCCAGUAG
rnacentral:rRNA from 1 species